AUCCUUUUGAAAUUCAUAAGUGUGAUGAUUGGGUGUUCACACUUGUGUGAGAUGUGCCUACUUCAAACCUUGUUACGACAUUACACAUUACCCAUCUGAUG